rnacentral:rRNA from 1 species
UACGGAGGGUGCGAGCGUUGUCCGGAAUCACUGGGCGUAAAGGGCGCGUAGGCGGCCUGAUAAGUAGGGGGUGAAAUCCUGCGGCUUAACCGCAGGGCUGCCUUCUAAACUGUCAGGCUAGAGCACGGUAGAGGCAGAUGGAAUUCCCGGUGUAGCGGUGGAAUGCGUAGAGAUCGGGAAGAACAUCAGUGGCGAAGGCGGUCUGCUGGGCCGUUGCUGACGCUGAGGCGCGAAGGCGUGGGGAGCGAACAGG